CAGGUCAGAACUGCUCUGGCUGCACAAGAGGAGCCUGCCUGCACAGUAUGAACGCUCCAGUCGAGCUGUAAUGGCCUAGAAUGUUGCAUCCUAACCUCGAUCCGACCCAGCUGAGGAGACAAGAUGUUACCACACAGGACAGCAGCACAGUGCGAGGACUCGGGAGGUCUCUGCGUGAAUCUUUUAAAAAAAAAAAAAAAAAAAGCAAUGAAGGCCCCUCAGGGAGCUUUCAAAGAAAAGUGGGCCCUGCACCCUGUAACCUGAACUCACAGGGGAAUUACGAUUAGAGCUGGGAAAAUAAAGAACUCCAAAGAUA